rnacentral:lncRNA from 1 species
ACAGGCAAGACCAUCACUCUCGAGGUGGAGAGCUCGGACACCAUCGACAACGUCAAGACAAAGAUCCAGGACAAGGAGGGAAUCCCACCUGACCAGCAGCGUCUCAUCUUUGCGGGGAAGCAGCUCGAGGAUGGACGCACCCUGGCGGACUACAACAUCCAGAAGGAGUCGACGCUCCACCUGGUGCUUCGUCUUCGUGGUGGGAUGCAAAUCUUCGUGAAGACCCUGACAGGCAAGACCAUCACUCUCGAGGUGGAGAGCUCGGACACCAUCGACAACGUCAAGACAAAGAUCCAGGACAAGGAGGGAAUCCCACCUGACCAGCAGCGUCUCAUCUUUGCGGGGAAGCAGCUCGAGGAUGGUCGAACUCUUGCAGACUACAACAUCCAGAAGGAGUCGACUCUCCAC